rnacentral:lncRNA from 1 species
CGGCUGCGUCCUCUGUGGAGGCGUGGCCGGAACGGAGGUGGUGUUGUCACCUGUCAAGCUCAGGUGUUCCCUUGGCCUGGCUUCUCGGGCUCCUGUUAAGUUAUGGCAGGUGACCUUUGAGGUGGCCGGGCAUCCCCCCUCCCCCCACGGCGGCACUGGUCCCAUCUCAAGGGACACCCUCCCUCCUAAAGGGCUGUUCUGGACACCUGAGUGAGCCAUGUGAUUAUUGUUCCAGAAGAAUUGUGUGAGUGUGAAGACUGCAGGGAGAUGGAGGCCACUUGAUGAAGAGCCUUGAGCCCACCCCUUAAAGGAACAAGGCGCGUUUCUCCCAAGGCCCCGACAGCUGGCUCCUCCAGCUCCAGCCCA